GACGAACGCUGGCGGCGUGCUUAACACAUGCAAGUCGAGCGGUAAGGCCUCUUCGGGGGUACACGAGCGGCGAACGGGUGAGUAACACGUGGGUGACCUGCCCUCCCUACUCUGGGAUAAGCCUGGGAAACUGGGUCUAAUACCGGAUAUGACUUCGCAUCGCAUGGUGUGGGGUGGAAAGUUCUGCUCUUCGGGGUGGUUCGGUGGGGGAUGGGCCCGCGGCCUAUCAGCUUGUUGGUGGGGUGAUGGCCUACCAAGGCGACGACGGGUAGCCGGCCUGAGAGGGCGACCGGCCACACUGGGACUGAGACGCGGCCCAGACUCCUACGGGAGGCAGCAGUGGGGAAUAUUGCGCAAUGGGCGGAAGCCUGACGCAGCGACGCCGCGUGGGGGUGAC
rnacentral:rRNA from 1 species